rnacentral:rRNA from 1 species
CGCGUAGGCGGUUUCUAAAGUCAGAUGUGAAAGCCCGGGGCUCAACCCCGGAAGUGCAUUUGAAACUUAGGGACUUGAGUAUGGGAGAGGGAAGUGGAAUUCCUGGUGUAGCGGUGAAAUGCGUAGAUAUCAGGAGGAACACCGGUGGCGAAGGCGACUUCCUGGACCAAUACUGACGCUGAGGCGCGAAGGCGUGGGGAGCAAACAGGAUUAGAUACCCUGGUAGUCC